CCUACGGGUGGCUGCAGUCGAGAAUUAUUCACAAUGGGGGAAAGCCUGAUGGUGCGACGCCGCGUGGGGAAAUGAAGGUCUUCGGAUUGUAAACCCCUGUCAUGUGGGAGCAAAUUAAAAAGAUAGUACCACAAGAGGAAGAGCCGGCUAACACGGUACAAGCAGCCGCGGUAGACCAGAGGUCUCAAGCGGUGUUCGGAAUCACUGGGCGUAAGGCGUGGUUAGGCUGUUUCGUCAGCCGUGUGUGAAAGGCGGGGGCUCAACCCGCGGAGGGCAGGUGAUACUGCGAGACCAGAGUAAUGGAGGGGGAACCGGAAGUCGCGGUGUAGCAGUGAAAUGCGUAGAUAUCGAGAGGAACACUCGUGGCGAAGGCGGGUCCCUGGACAGUAACUGACGCUGAGGCACGAAGGCCAGGGGAGCGAAAGGGAUUAGAUACCCGUGUAGUC
rnacentral:rRNA from 1 species